rnacentral:rRNA from 1 species
ACCAGACUCCUACGGGAGGCAGCAGUGGGGAAUAUUGGGCAAUGGGCGCAAGCCUGACCCAGCAACGCCGCGUGAAGGAAGAAGGCUUUCGGGUUGUAAACUUCUUUUAUCAGGGACGAAGCAAGUGACGGUACCUGAUGAAUAAGCCACGGCUAACUACGUGCCAGCAGCCGCGGUAAUACGUAGGUGGCGAGCGUUAUCCGGAUUUACUGGGUGUAAAGGGCGUGUAGGCGGGAGUGCAAGUCAGAUGUGAAAACUAUGGGCUCAACCCAUGGCCUGCAUUUGGAACUGGGCUUCUUGAGUGCUGGGGAGGGAAUCGGAAUUCCGUGUGUAGCGGUGAA